rnacentral:rRNA from 1 species
CUUGGUCAUUUAGAGGAAGUAAAAGUCGUAACAAGGUUUCCGUAGGUGAACCUGCGGAAGGAUCAUUACCGAGUGAGGGCCCUCUGGGUCCAACCUCCCACCCGUGUUUAUUUUACCUUGUUGCUUCGGCGGGCCCGCCUUUACUGGCCGCCGGGGGGCUCACGCUCCCGGGCCCGCGCCCGCCGAAGACACCCCCGAACUCUGUCUGAAGAUUGCAGUCUGAGUGAAAACGAAAUUAUUUAAAACUUUCAACAACGGAUCUCUUGGUUCCGGCAUCGAUGAAGAACGCAGCGAAAUGCGAUACGUAAUGUGAAUUGCAAAUUCAGUGAAUCAUCGAGUCUUUGAACGCACAUUGCGCCCCCUGGUAUUCCGGGGGGCAUGCCUGUCCGAGCGUCAUUGCUGCCCUCAAGCCCGGCUUGUGUGUUGGGCCCCGUCCCCCGAUCCCGGGGGACGGGCCCGAAAGGCAGCGGCGGCACCGCGUCCGGUCCUCGAGCGUAUGGGGCUUUGUCACCCGCUCCGUAGGCCCGGCCGGCGCCUGCCGAUCAACCCCAAAUUUUUAAUCCAGGUUGACCUCGGAUCAGGUAGGGAUACCCGCUGAACUUAAGCAUAUCAAUAAGCGGAGGA